UACGUAGGGUGCGAGCGUUGUCCGGAAUUAUUGGGCGUAAAGAGCUCGUAGGCGGCUUGUCACGUCGGAUGUGAAAGCCCGGGGCUUAACUCCGGGUCUGCAUUCGAUACGGGCAGGCUAGAGUUCGGUAGGGGAGAUCGGAAUUCCUGGUGUAGCGGUGAAAUGCGCAGAUAUCAGGAGGAACACCGGUGGCGAAGGCGGAUCUCUGGGCCGAUACUGACGCUGAGGCGCGACAGCGUGGGGAGCAAACAGG
rnacentral:rRNA from 1 species